UAAGGGGCAGAUACUGUCAGGCAUUGUCAGCAGCUCUCACUGUGUUUCUCCCAACGGCCUGAAAUCUCCUCACCAUGCUCUGGGCUCCCCUCAUCCUCCUGCUGGGGACGUGGUGCACAGGUUCCAGCUCGCAGACUGUGGUGACUCAGCCACCUUCAGUGUCAGUGUCCCCAGGAAACACCGUGAAACUCUCCUGCACCAUGAGCAGUGGGACCAGCAUCAGUGGCUAUGCUGUGUCCUGGUACCAGCAGAAACCUGGGAAUUCCCCACGAUACCUGCUGUAUUACUAUUCAGAUUCCAUCAAGGGCCAGGGUUCUGGGGUCCCUGCUCGCUUCUCUGGUUCCAAAGACACGUCCAGUAACGCCGGCUAUCUGACCAUCUCCGGGGCACUGGCAGAGGAUGAGGCUGAUUAUUACUGUGCUGUGUGGAGUGGAAGUAGCAGUGCUCCUCCUCACUGUGACACAGACAGAUGGGGAAGUGAGACAAAAACUGCCUCUGUCUUCCCACUCCCAGCCUGUGUUCUGCAGGGGCCUGCACAGGCUGCUAGGUUCGGUCUCUGCCUAUAGCAUAUCACACAAAUGCGUGUUCUUCAUGUAACCUUUGGGUGGUCUAGAGUUCACUUCAUUUCCCGUCUCCAGUGCCUUAAAAAACCCCAACUCCCAUA